UCAGUGUUAGCAAGCAUAGAACAACCAGA
rnacentral:sRNA from 1 species